rnacentral:lncRNA from 1 species
GAAUUACUUUGCAGGCAAUCUCCAUGACAAGCCUGCUGGUGGGAUCUGAUGGCAAUUCUGGAGGGAGGGAAGAAAAAUAGGGCUGUUGAAAGAAAUUGGGGCUCAGAAACUGGAAGAAGACAGGCAGAUGACAGGAUGAUGGAUGCAGCAUGUGGAGCUGCAGAGGGACUCCCAGGAGAGGAUUCCAUUAACCAGCCAGGAUGAGGCAGCUAGCAGCAGCUUGAAAUCAGGAGUAGUCAAGAAGCCAUCAUUCCCAGGUUGGCCACCAAUACCAGGGAAGAGGUCAUUGGAAGUAAUUGCAAAGAGGACAGAAUCACCGGACCAACACUGGUGUGGCCUAUGCAAACCACUUUGCUUCACAUAGGAUUCAAUCUUCAUUUCUGACUUCAGAUGUGAAAUAAAAAGCAUUCUGGGAAACAUGGAAUGUUAUGCAGAAAUAAAAUAUUGUCGCAAAACCUGAUAACUAGUGAUAACCACUGUUAGUAUUGAUGGCCGUGGAUUUUCCACUGUAGGCUGCAUAAUUUGACUAUUGUGAGUGAUUCUGCUCUAAGUAUGGUUGUGCAGAUGUCUUUUUUGGCAUUCUGAUGUCAGCUCCUUCAGAUAUGUAUCCAGAAGUGAGAUUAGCAGAUCAAAGGAUCAAUACUAGUCCUGUUUUCAGCAUUUUGAGGAAUCUCUGUUCUGGUUCCUCUAAAGAUGGCAUCAAUUUCCUUUUCCACCAAUAGUAUACAAGAAUUCCCUUUCUCUACACUCUGACUGUAGAGAAAUGGAAUUUCCAAACAAAAUCAAAUACGUUGUUUCCUGCCACCACCCCUCCUUCUCUAAAUAGGCUUUUCUUGCCAUUGGAAAAGUUAAACAAACCAAAAGUAGUCACUCAACAUUUUUUUAAAUGCCCUCCUAGGGACAUUAGUGUCCCAGUGUAAAGCCAUUGACUUCGCUUCUUCUUGACCAAGCAAGACCUCAGAACCAUUGUGCUCACUGGUGAUCUUUCUGCUGGAAAGUUGUUCCUCCAGUAAGCUGAAUGACACUUUCCCUUAUAUCCAUUAGCUCCCAGCACAAAACGCUACAGUAGAGAGACCCUUUCUAUCUUUCUAGCUAAAACAGUUUUCCUGGCUUGUCAAUCUCUGGCUGUGGAUACUUCUUAAGUUCUUUUCAUCAUAAUCUGAUUAGUCAACCUAUUCUUACCUUAUAUGUCUAUUUUCUUACACAGCCUUUGCUCAGCCGAUUCAAUAGAUGCUAAUGACUCUGAGGACAUCUCUAAUUGAAGAGGGACUUUUUUAUUACAAUGAUCUAUUUCCAGGGUUGGGAACUAGUGCCUGGGCUUUAGCAGUUACUCAAUAAAUAUCUGUUGUUAGAGCGUCUGGUUGUCCACUUACCCUCCUUCCUGUGUACCCCACCAACACUGCCUCCCAUCAAGAUCACAACAGUGACAAGCUGUGUUUCACCCCAGUAAUGGAAGGGAAAUCAUUGUUUUCUCUUCCCUGAGUCUUUCUUAUUAUGGGCAAAUGCAAUCAACCAGCCUGUCACUUGCCCAUACCACCUGUAUGUUUAGCUUUGCCUUUUGUUCCUAUCAAUGGUAUGGAUUUAGAAAUCAGGAAUCAAACUUCCCAUUAUAUGAUGCUACUAUAUUGUUAUGAAAGCUUUUCCCUCUCCAGAGAAAAAGAUGGUUUUUAUUUUAUAUAUUAAAAAUAAUUUUUCAUACAGUGUAUUUUAAUCACAUUCUUUCCCUCCUUCAACUCUUGGAAGAUCCUUAAACCUCCCUACCCACCUAACACUAUGUUCUUUCUCUGUCAAAAACAAAAGCAAAACAACUAAAUGAAAAUUAAAACAAAUAAACCUAAAGCCAAUAGGACAAAAAAACUACUAAAAAGCAAGCACAGACAUGCAUGUGUGUACCAUCAGACACAUCACACCCCACAAAUACACCACACGCAUACACAUACACAUACACAUACACACACACAUACACACACACACACACACACACACACACGAGUCCAUUUUGUGUUGAUCAAAUAUCCCUGGUCUGCCCUGAAGUGUGGUUGCUAUACCCAGUGUUACUCCAUUAAAGAAAAGUGAUUUUUCUGCAGAUAUCAGUUGAAAAUAGCUUCUUAGUCAAAGGUGUCCACUUCCCCUUAUCAGUGCUGGGGUUUUGUCUGGCUUGAAAUUGUGGAGGUCCAGUGCAUGCUGACACUGUCUCUGUAGGGUUAUAUGUACACCAGAGCCUUUUGUGUCUAAAAGAUGUUGCUUCCUUGGAGUCAUCCACCCUCUAUGGCUCUAACAAUCUUUCCACCUUAGAAGAAGAGAUCUAGGGAGGUGAAAGAAAGAAAGAAAGAAAG